UACCAGCACCCCGAGUGGUCGGGACGUUUAUUGGGCCUAAAGCAUCCGUAGCCGGUUCUACAAGUCUUCCGUUAAAUCCAGCUGACUUAACAGAUGGGCUGCGGAAGAUACUAUGGAGCUAGGAGGCGGGAGAGGCAAGCGGUACUCGAUGGGUAGGGGUAAAAUCCGUUGAUCCAUUGAAGACCACCAGUGGCGAAGGCGGCUUGCCAGAACGCGCUCGACGGUGAGGG
rnacentral:rRNA from 1 species